UUGAUUUGUUCGUUUUGUUCCUCGUUUCAAAUUCUGUUAUUAUUUCACAUAAUUGUUUCUUGUGAAAUUCAUAUAUUUGUUUCAUUUUGGAGUUGACACAUUGGACUCGUAUUUGUACUCUUUGAAUUAGGAUAUCAUGUAUAGUAUUUAUUUUCAUAAUUGUAGAGCGGUACAUGUUGCUACCUUCUUUUUGAGACCUUGUGACCAUAAUUUGAUUUGGUUCAACAUGUACAUGUAGAACCCUUUUGUUGGUAUUAUGUCACAUGUGUUGUGACAUGGUAUUUUUGUUAGAAUAUACCGUAGGGUAUACCUGAGCUAUAACCACCUGUGGGGGUACCACAGGCACGUCGUCUUGGCACGAGAGACGUGACACUUUUCGUGACGGUGUGAUUAGUCCACGGCGUCUCCGUUUUGGGCUCCGGAGGAAGUGGGCCAUUUGGUGUUUUAUUGUGGGAGGCGUAUGGGUUAACCCUAGUUUUUAUUCUGCGGAUUGGUGAUGUUGUGCCAAACACACCUAUUCGAUUUGCAUACAUUCGGAUUCGCGAUCCAAUGUGUGAUUUGCCUAUGUGGCAUUAUUUUGAUUUGCCUGUGUGGCAUUAUUUUGAUGUGCCUGUGUGGCAUUAUUUUGGUUGCCUAUGUGGCAUCAUUUGAUUUGCAUGUAUGGCAUUAUUUUGACUUGCCUGUGUGGCAUUGUUUUGACUUGUCUGUGUGACAAGAUAUAUUUCUGAGCUCAAUCGGUAUGAAAUAACCCCAGCCAUUUGUUUCAGCCUAUUAUUUUAUUGUGUUAGUUUUGUUCGUUUCAUUUCAGUUCAUUUCGUCUCCUUUCAAUUAAUUGGGUUAGUUAUUUCAGUUCAUUAUUUUCUUUACUCUUCUGUUUGUUUCAUUAAUCCUGUUGGUUCAGAUAUAUUCUAUUCAGUUCUUUGGAGUUUUAUUUUUGUCAGAGGCAAUAUUUUGUCUAUGUUAAUUUCGUAUUUCAGUUGUAUAUCUUUUGUAUAUCUGUAUCCGUACUGG
rnacentral:lncRNA from 1 species